rnacentral:rRNA from 1 species
AUUGAACGCUGGCGGCAGGCCUAACACAUGCAAGUCGAACGAGUGGCGGACGGGUGAGUAAUGUCUGGGAAACUGCCCGAUGGAGGGGGAUAACUACUGGAAACGGUAGCUAAUACCGCAUACCAUCGGAUGUGCCCAGAUGGGAUUAGCUAGUAGGGGGGGUAACGGCUCACCUAGGCGACGAUCCCUAGCUGGUCUGAGAGGAAGACCAGCCACACUGGGACUGAGACACGGUCCAGACUCCUACGGGAGGCAGCAUUGGUGAAUAUUGCACAAGGGGCGCAAGCCUGAUGCAGCCAUGCCGCGUGUAUGAAGAAGGCCUUCGGGUUGUAAAGUACUUUCAUCGAGGAGGCGUUACUCGCUGAAGAAGCACCGGCUCACUCCGUGCCAGCAGCCGCGGUAAUUC